rnacentral:rRNA from 1 species
GACGAACGCUGGCGGCGUGCUUAACACAUGCAAGUCGAACGGGAACCUUUAUUUCGGUAAAGGUGAGAGUGGCAAACGGGUGAGUAACACGUAGGCAACCUGCCGACAGGAUGGGGACAACAUUCCGAAAGGAAUGCUAAUACCGAAUGGAGUCCAAGGAUGGCAUCAUCCCUGGAUAAAAGAUGGCCUCUGAAUAUGCUAUCGCCUGCCGAUGGGCCUGCGUCCGAUUAGCCAGUUGGCGGGGUAACGGCCCACCAAAGCGACGAUCAGUAGCCGGUCUGAGAGGAUGAACGGCCACAUUGGGACUGAGACACGGCCCAGACUCCUACGGGAGGCAGCAGUGGGGAAUCUUCCACAAUGGGCGAAAGCCUGAUGGAGCAACGCCGCGUGAGUGAAGAAGGUCUUCGGAUCGUAAAGCUCUGUUGCACGGGACGAAAACCGAGCUUGAGAAUAUUGAGUUUGG